rnacentral:lncRNA from 1 species
GGAGGCGGGUGCUUCAGGCCUGGACUUCUGAGAAGCAGGGAGCGGGAGGUUGGGAGUUCAUGUUUGAAGGAGACUUUGAAUAAUGAGUUUGGGCUGGAUUCUGUGUGAGCAGGGUGAGAACCACCAGGUGGCCAACACUGGCUCCGGGCACCGCGGGUACCUCAGGUUCCCCACCCGGGAGAUGGAAACACAGCCUCACUUAAAGGGUCUCAGGGGCUCCUACCAGACUGCACACACAGACAAGCUCAGAAGAGGAAAGGAAAGCUUGACUCACGGUGGGUGCUACCAGGCCUGCAGGCUGCCCAAGGCUCCCAGACCCUACAAACCCCACAG